rnacentral:rRNA from 1 species
GACGAACGCUGGCGGCGUGCCUAAUACAUGCAAGUAGAACGCUGAAGAGAGGAGCUUACUCUUCUUGGAUGAGUUGCGAACGGGUGAGUAACGCGUAGGUAACCUGCCUUGUAGCGGGGGAUAACUAUUGGAAACGAUAGCUAAUACCGCAUAACAAUGGAUGACACAUGUCAUUUAUUUGAAAGGGGCAAUUGCUCCACUACAAGAUGGACCUGCGUUGUAUUAGCUAGUAGGUGAGGUAAUGGCUCACCUAGGCGACGAUACAUAGCCGACCUGAGAGGGUGGUCGGCCACCCUGGGACUGAGACACGGCCCAGACUCCUACGGGAGGCAGCAGUAGGGCAUCUUCGGCAAUGGGGGCAACCCUGACCGAGCAACGCCGCGUGAGUGAAGAAGGUUUUCGGAUCGUAAAGCUCUGUUGUAAGUCAAGAACGGGUGUGAGAGUGGAAAGUUCACACUGUGACGGUAGCUUACCAGAAAGGGACGGCUAACUACGUG